rnacentral:rRNA from 1 species
GAUCUCAGUUCGGACUGUAGGCUGCAACUCGCCUACACGAAGUUGGAAUUGCUAGUAAUCGUGGAUCAGCAUGCCACGGUGAAUACGUUCCCGGGUCUUGUACACACCGCCCGUCACACCAUGGGAGCUGGUAACACCCGAAGUCAGUAGCCUAACCGCAAGGAGGACGCUGCCGAAGGUGGGAUUAGCGACUGGGGUGAAGUCGUAACAAGGUACC